rnacentral:rRNA from 1 species
GUCUACGGCCAUACCACCCUGAACACUCCCGAUUCCCUCUGAUCUCGGAAGCUAAACAGGGUCAGGCCUGGUUAGUACUUGGAUGGGAGACCAUCUAGGAAGACCAGGUGCUGUAGGUG